AAGAACUAACCASGAUUCCCCUAGUAACGGCGAGUGAAGAGGGAAAAGCCCAGCACCGAAGCCUGCGGCAGAUUUGCUGUUAGGCAAUGUGGUGUUUGGGUCGGCUCGUGGGAUUGCCACUCCACUCGAAGUCCAGCAUUGAGUAUGGUCACUGGAUUUGGCCCASAGAGGGUGAAAGGCCCGUACGGGUGGAGGUUCAGACAUGUAAGGCAGUUCACCAGGUCGACCUUAGAGUCGGGUUGUUUGAGAAUGCAGCCCAAAGCGGGUGGUAAACUCCAUCCAAGGCUAAAUACAGACACGAGUCCGAUAGCGAACAAGUACCGUGAGGGAAAGUUGAAAAGUACUCUGAAGAGAGAGUAAACAGUACGUGAAACCGCAUGCAGGUAAACGGGUGGCGUCAAGCUGCAAGCCCAGAGGAUUCAGCCGGUUAGGAUGUUGUGUAUGCGCCUGGCGCAUCUAUCAGUCGGAGUAUGAUUGGAUAGUCCAUCGGUAAACGGUGGGCCUGACCGCAAGGUCNNGAUAUGUGUACCGGGUGGGUGCCGGAGCAUGCUAUCCAUCUGAGGACUGUCUAAUCGGUGCACUUUCUCUGUGGUGAACACCACGACCGGUGGUAUUGCCAGUCUGCUGUGUCCAAGUCGUGUUUGGUAGGUCCUUGUGGCCAACUGGAUGCGAUCACAGGCAAAUUCAGUAAACGGCGUAGGGAUGUUUCGGCAUCUCUGCGUGUUAUCGGCUACUGGUUGUCAACGGGCCUGCUUGGUGUUUGCUGUUGUAACCGGCAUCAAGUGGUCUGGUGGGACAUGGUGGUAAGAAUAACUGUGCAAGGCACCGGAGUUAUCGGCCUCAAAUGCAUGCUGCACCCACGUUACAAGUGGUGUCUAUGAUGGCGGUGUUGUUGCUGUCUGCCCGGUGUUGGGUCUGAUUGUCGUGUCGCCUGCACAAAGUAGGCCCGGCAGUGGCUCGACUCGAGAUGGACAGUGGAUGAUGCCGUCCGGUGUGGCAUGUGGUGGGCCCAAUAGUCAGUGGUGUAGUGGA
rnacentral:rRNA from 1 species